rnacentral:rRNA from 1 species
GCGUGGGGAGCGAACAGGAUUAGAUACCCUGGUAGUCCACGCUGUAAACGAUGAUCACUCGUUGUUGGCUACUUAGUAGUCAGUGACCAAGGGAAACCGAUAAGUGAUCCACCUGGGGAGUAUGUCGGCAACGAUGAAGCUCAAAGGAAUUGACGGGGGCCCGCACAAGCGGAGGAACAUGUGGUUUAAUUCGAUGAUACGCGAGGAACCUUACCUGGGCUUAAAUGCUGGCUGCAUUGGAGGGAAACCUUCAUUUCCUACGGGACCGCCAGCAAGGUGCUGCAUGGUUGUCGUCAGCUCGUGCCGUGAGGUGUCGGGUUAAGUCCCAUAACGAGCGCAACCCCUAUCGCUAGUUGCCAGCAUGUAAUGGUGGGGACUCUAGCGAGACUGCCGGUGUAAACCGGAGGAACCCUGGGGAUCACGUCAAAUCAGCACGGCCCUUACGUCCAGGGCUACACACGUGUUACAAUGGCCGGUACAAAGAGCAGCCACCUGGCGACAGGGCGCUAAUCUCUAAAACCGGUCUCAGUUCGGAUCGAAGUCUGCAAUUCGACUUCGUGAAGGUGGAUUCGCUAGUAAUCGCGCAUCAGCCAUGGCGCGCUGCCUAAGUUCCCGGGCAUUGUACACACCGCCCGUCAAGCCAUGGAAGUCGGGGGACCUGAAGUCCGUA